UCUCAGGUAGUCAUAGGCAACCUGAAGGAACUUAGUCCCCCCAGGACCCUAGGGAGCAUGCCAGGAACAAACAGUGGUGCCCACUCACUGGGCCCAUUUCUUGAGUUCAGCUCUUCGACAAGAAAAAAAAGCCCAUUAGUAUAUUUUUUCAUUUUUACCUGAAAAGAAAUAUGACAACUAACAGGAAGUAUGACACUAGCAGGAUGACAAUACCUGCUAGUGAAAUUAAGGCCACCCAGCUCCUCAGAUCAUCAUCAACUGGAAUGACCAGACCUCACUUCAGCUUGCAUUUGUGUUUACUAGAGAGAGCAACGAGGAGUUUUCUUUUAAAGAGUAAGAAGGCAAAAUAGCAUCGUGGAGUGAAAUCUCAUCUCUACAAAAAAGUACAAAAAUUAGUCAGGUGUGGGCACCUGUAUCCCAGCUACUGGGGAGACUGAGGCAGGGGGAUCCCUUGAGCCCAGAAGGUCGAGGCUGCAGUGAGCUGUGAUCAUGUCACUGCACUCCUGCCUGGGUGACAGAUUGAGACCCUGCCUCAAAAAAAAAAAAAAAAAAGAAAGAAAGAAAAGAAAAGAAAGGAAAGGAAGGAAUGAAGGAAUGAGAGAGAGAGAAAGAGACAGAUUGAGAAAGUUGAAAGAAAGACGAAAGAAAGAAAGAGAAAAAGGAGGGAGAGAGGGAGGGAAGGAAGGAAGGAAAAGAAAGAAAGAAAAACAAAAUAACAAAAUGACCUGAGAAGGAAAAGAAAUAAUCAGAGACAUUAAAAAUAAUCGCCGGCGGAUGGGUCUGGUGGCUCAUGCCUGUAAUCCCAGCACUUUGGGAGGCCAAGGCGGGAGGAUCACCUGAGGUCAGGAGUUUGGGACCAGCCUAGUCAACAUGGUGAAACCCCGUCUCUACUAAAAAUACAAAAAUUAGCCGGGCGUGGUGGCGGGCACCCGUAGUCCCAGCUACCCAGGAGGCUGAGGCAGGAGAAUCACUUGAAUCCGGGAGGCGGAGGUUGCAGUGAGCCAAGAUCACGCUACUGCACUCCAGCCCGGGCAACUGAGCGAGACUCCAUUUCAAAAAAAUAAGUAAAUAAAAAAUAAAAAGCAAUAAUAAUAGCCGACAACAGAAUACAGCUAGGCCGAGCGGCAGCCUCCUCUGCUGUCCGUGCGGCUCGCCUGUUGCCUGCUUCACUGCCUGACUGUGGGCUCUGUUUGUCUUGGUCCCCGUGGCAUUACCAGAGCUUAGCAGAUAAGGAGGAGCUUCAUACAUAAUUGUUGGCGUGAACAAAGGAAUGCAUGGUUAACUACGUCAGAAAUGACCAGUUCAAGAGGAGAAUGAGAUUGGCUUCCAAAUGUUGGUCAAGAGCUCUACGUAGCAUGAGCCAAGGAUCUAUUGAACUUAGUAGGCUCCUGUGACCGGUGACUCUUCUGUCUCUAGAAAUCUGGGGAGGUGACCAGGUCAUACAUGGCAGUCUUCCCGUGAGGAACGUUAAACUGGUUGGAACUUGGGGUUCUGAGGGGAAGAUGUAUUCACUAGGUGACCUGUCUUCUCUGCCUCGGUGGCCUCCAUGGCUGCCUGCUGGCCGCACACCCCCACUCAGCAGAGGAAUGGACUUUCCAAUCUUGCUGAGUGUGUUUGACCAAAGGUGGUGCUGACUUAGUGGCCUAAGGUCGUGCCCUCCCUCCCCCACUGAAUCGAUAAAUAAUGCGACUUAUCAGAAAGAGAAAGAAUUGUUUACUUUUAAACCCUGGAUCCCAUAAAGGGAGAGGGGAGAGGCCUAAAGCCACAGAAGCUGUGGAAGGCGUCAUCCUGCCUGCCACAGGAAGGGCCUUGGACUGAGAGGACCGGAGCUGACUGGGGAUUAUUCAAAGCCAAAAGCCAACAGAGCCCCCAUGGAGAAGUGGAGGAUGCUCAGAUACUGCUAUGGAGCCCUGAGAAGUGAAAUGGGCCCAAGCCCUUGCCCGGGAUAGAGCGCUCCAAGCUUAUCCGCCGGAGACCCUUUUAAUCAGUGAAUUGUUCACCUCUCACUGUUUCUUCCCAGCAGAGCUAAGAGACUUCUAGAGCCUCUUGUGAUGGUUAGCGAUAGCCCUGGUAUGACCAGGAGGUGGGGAUUUCUGUUCUAGGUCCCUCAGCAAAGACUAAGCAGGACAAGCCUGGCUACUGUGUUAGGAGGAGCUGCAGGGAAAGGGAAGGACAAGAUGGGCCACCACUUGCCUGUGUCCACUGCUGGCCACACCCAGAGUGCUGGGGGUUUGUGGCAGUGACUGGGGCCACCUAGAACAGUUCUAGGGUUCGUAGUCAUUCUCUCUGAGUCAUGGAAAACUGCCCAGGAGGCGAGUCCCACCUAAGAGAGUAUGUCUAGCACUGGCACGGCCUGCUGCCUUGCAAGUGACCACAUUUCAUGAAAGAAAGCCAGGGCCACAGACAGGAACCAAAGGAAAUCAGUUACUUAGGGGAAGAUAACGAAUCCACAAAGUGAAAAAGGGAAAGAAAAAAAAGAGGCAACUUCAACACUCCAACCCAUGGGAGCAGAAUGACUUUCAGCUUUCGCAGGGGGAUAAUCACUGCAAGUCUAGCUUGAAGAGGGUGAUUUCAUGAUCUACGUGAGAAUAAGGCGCAUUUUUUUUUUCUGAAAAAUACAGAAGGGUUCAUUUACAGCUGUUAAAGAUGGGCCGGUUUUAGGGCUAAAGCAAGACUCUGGUCGGAUGUUAACAACUCAGUUAUCCUGGGGAAAAAAUAACUGGCUCCCAACCCUUUCCCUUUUCAGCAUUUGCAGGAAAAGAAGGAGUAGGUAAAAUGCUUUAUUUCCUCUUAUUCUCCAUGGUGGGCAGGAGUUCACAUAACAAUUAUAAACCAUCUUUAACAGGAAAGCCAAGUAAAUCCUGUAGGGAUUUAUUCGGAGCUCCCUUUUUGCUAGAAAAUGAGUAUCAUGAACUAAAAAUGGACUCAUUUCCUCUCUCUCCAUCUUCCUCCCUUUCUUCUCUCCCCUCAUCUCCCACCCACUGCCAUGGUGGAAAAUGGCUGUGGUCAAGAAGAUUGAACAUUUGAGCAAGACUGGAUGCCUUUAUAUCCAAUAGAUGCCACGGAGAGUAGAUCACAACACAUCUAACUGCUAUAUCCCCAUAUAAAAUAAUUUUAAUUUUCCUAGACUGCAGAAUUGAUCACAUUUGCUGAUGAUGGAUUGGGAAGUAGGUGAGGAGGUGAGAGUUGGAGAGUAUCCAUUCAUUCGGCCAGAUUAUUCUCAUUUAUAAUGUGGUCUUCCAAUAAGUAUUUAUUUCCAGAAAUCUAUUCCCUCUAGAGAUUCUUUCUCUCUCAGCCAUUUUAGAAAAUUGUUGCAAACAGAGUUCCUGUCCGUUUUCACAGGAAGUUUUUGCAGAAGGGGUUUGCUGGGUGGCAGUGGAACACAGGCAGUGGACCCCGUUACUACUCUACUGUUCCAGAACACAGAAGCCUUUCAUCCGCGAGUCUUCAGCUCUUCCCAUUGCUCAAGAUGCUUGCACCCGUGAUGCUUCUUUUCUCUGCUCAGGUCACAAUAUGUGGAGCUGACAAGGUUCCCCUAUUACCAGUGACAAUGGUGGAAUGUGGAGGUGAAGUUAACACCUUCGUGGCUACAGAGUUUCCUUAGCAGAGCUGUGGAGUGUGACAAUGGUGUUUGUGUCUAAAUUAUCAAACGCCAUUAUCACACUAAAUAGCUACUGCUAGGCAAUCCUUCCCUCAAUAAAUGUCUUGGCAUCGUUUGCUUUGAGCAAGAAGGUUCAUCUGAUAUCAGUGUUCCCAAUCUUGUGUACUUACUGAAUAAAGUCUGGUUCUUUUGCACUCAUAA